UUAAACUGAAGAGUUUGAUCCUGGCUCAGAUUGAACGCUGGCGGCAUGCCUUACACAUGCAAGUCGAACGGCAGCACGGGUGCUUGCACCUGGUGGCGAGUGGCGAACGGGUGAGUAAUACAUCGGAACAUGUCCUGUAGUGGGGGAUAGCCCGGCGAAAGCCGGAUUAAUACCGCAUACGAUCUACGGAUGAAAGCGGGGGACCUUCGGGCCUCGCGCUAUAGGGUUGGCCGAUGGCUGAUUAGCUAGUUGGUGGGGUAAAGGCCUACCAAGGCGACGAUCAGUAGCU
rnacentral:rRNA from 1 species